GGGGUAAUAGUAUAGUGGUCAGUAUUUCUCGUUGUGGCUUGGUAUCUCUUCCGAGACACCUUCACAAGAUCCGAGAGGACCCAGGUUCGAUUCCUGGUUAUCCCA